rnacentral:tRNA from 1 species
GUCCAGAGAUGGGAAUCGAACCCACAAUGUUCCGCUUACCGGGCAGAUUCCAUGUCCACUAGGCUACCCUGGA